rnacentral:rRNA from 1 species
AGAGGAAGUAAAAGUCGUAACAAGGUUUCCGUAGGUGAACCUGCGGAAGGAUCAUUAUUGAAUGAAAAAAAAGGUCCAAGGUUGUUGCUGGCUGUCUCAGAUAGAUUUAAUCAUUAUAUUAUAUCUAUCUGUUGGCAUGUGCACAUCUUGCUCUUAAUUUCUUUCCUUCACACCUGUGCACCCGUUGUAGGUCCCUCGAAAAGAGAGAUCUAUGUCUUCAUUCAAUCUCGCCGCGCGCAUCGCAUGUUUGAUAAGAAUUGUCAUAAAAUGAAUCACAACUUUCAGCAACGGAUCUCUUGGCUCUCGCAUCGAUGAAGAACGCAGCGAAUUGCGAUAAGUAAUGUGAAUUGCAGAUUUUCAGUGAAUCAUCGAACCUUUGAACGCACCUUGCGCUCCUUGGUAUUCCGAGGAGCAUGCCUGUUUGAGUGUCAUUGAAUUCUCUCAACCAUGUCUUCAUUUUUGCGAGAUAUGGCUUGGAUUUGAGAGUUGCUGGCAUUUUUAUUGUCGGCUCUCCUGAAAUUUAUUAGCGAUGGUAUACAUAGAUACCUUCCGACGUCGUAAUGAUCGUUGGUGGGCCUUGCAUCAGUUCGCUUCCUAAUCAUGCUUACAAACUCUGUUUUGUAUCAUUUCGAACGUUCGACCUCAAAUCAGGUAGGACUACCCGCUGAACUUAAGCAUAUCAAUA